GACGAACGCUGGCGGCGUGCUUAACACAUGCAAGUCGAACGGAAAGGCCCUGCUUUUGUGGGGUGCUCGAGUGGCGAACGGGUGAGUAACACGUGAGUAACCUGCCCUUGACUUUGGGAUAACUUCAGGAAACUGGGGCUAAUACCGGAUAGGGGCUCCUGCUGCAUGGUGGGGGUUGGAAAGUUUCGGCGGUUGGGGAUGGACUCGCGGCUUAUCAGCUUGUUGGUGGGGUAGUGGCUUACCAAGGCUUUGACGGGUAGCCGGCCUGAGAGGGUGACCGGCCACAUUGGGACUGAGAUACGGCCCAGACUCCUACGGGAGGCAGCAGUGGGGAAUAUUGCACAAUGGGCGGAAGCCUGAUGCAGCAACGCCGCGUGCGGGAUGACGGCCUUCGGGUUGUAAACCGCUUUCGCCUGCGACGAAGCGUGAGUGACGGUAAUGGGUAAAGAAGCACCGGCUAACUACGUG
rnacentral:rRNA from 1 species